rnacentral:rRNA from 1 species
UACGUAGGGUGCAAGCGUUAAUCGGAAUUACUGGGCGUAAAGCGUGCGCAGGCGGUUUUGUAAGACAGAGGUGAAAUCCCCGGGCUUAACCUGGGAACUGCCUUUGUGACUGCAAGGCUUGAGUGCGGCAGAGGGGGAUGGAAUUCCGCGUGUAGCAGUGAAAUGCGUAGAUAUGCGGAGGAACACCGAUGGCGAAGGCAAUCCCCUGGGCCUGCACUGACGCUCAUGCACGAAAGCGUGGGGAGCAAACCAGG